UACGUAGGCAGCGAGCGUUGUUCGGAGUUACUGGGCGUAAAGCGUGCGCAGGCGGUUUUGUAAGCCAGAUGUGAAAUCCCCGGGCUUAACCUGGGAAUGGCAUUUGGGACUGCAAGGCUGGAGUUUGGCAGAGGAGACUGGAAUUCCUGGUGUAGCAGUGAAAUGCGUAGAUAUCAGGAGGAAUACCGAUGGCGAAGGCAGGUCUCUGGGCUAUAACUGACGCUCAUGCACGAAAGCGUGGGGAGCAAACAGG
rnacentral:rRNA from 1 species